rnacentral:lncRNA from 1 species
AUAGUGGAUAUAGUCAUGAUUCGAUGGGUUAGAUCCACUUACUUUUUCUUUUUUAUUUGUCGAUUUCUAAUCUAUCGAAAAAGAAAAAAAAAGAAUAUAUAUUUGGCGAUUCAAGAGACGUAUCUAUUUAGAUACGCUCGAAUGACCCCUUCUCAUAAUGAAAAUGUAUAUAACCUUAUUCCGGUCUGGUCCGGUAUGGAAUGAACUUAUAAUCAUGGAAUCGACUCGAUCAUCAGAUUAUAGAUUACAAGUUCAUAACCUUAGUCCAUUCCCAUUUUGGGCGGAACCCAUCUACUAAUUCUUUGAUUCCAGUUAGUAUUAGUAAGAGGGAUCUUGAACUAAGAAA